rnacentral:tRNA from 1 species
GGGGAAGUGGUUUAGGGUAUAACGUUUCAUUCGCAUGCAGUGCCUUGAAAGCCCCGGGUUCGAUUCCCGGCUUCUCCA